ACCGAAAUAGCUCUGUUGGGAGAACGUUAGAUAUAGAUCGAAUAGUCCCUGAUUCGAUCCCGGGUUCCGGUA
rnacentral:tRNA from 1 species